rnacentral:rRNA from 1 species
UACGAAGGGGGGCUAGCGUUGCUCGGAAUCACUGGGCGUAAAGCGCACGUAGGCGGCUUUUUAAGUCAGGGGUGAAAUCCUGGAGCUCAACUCCAGAACUGCCUUUGAUACUGAGAAGCUUGAGUCCGGGAGAGGUGAGUGGAACUGCGAGUGUAGAGGUGAAAUUCGUAGAUAUUCGCAAGAACACCAGUGGCGAAGGCGGCUCACUGGCCCGGUACUGACGCUGAGGUGCGAAAGCGUGGGGGAGCAAACAGG